UUUCACAUAACAUUUAAGACAUUUAAGAACUUAUGUCUGUCUGUGUCAUCCCUUUAUGUCAAAAGAUGUCUUUUUGUCACUUCCAGCUGGAUCUACCAUGAAAGACUUCUGAAUCCAGGAAGAGAGACUGACUGGGCAACAUGUUAUUCAGGGUCUCCCUCUGUUGUCCAAGGCUGGAGUGUAGUAGUGCUAUCGCAGCUGACUGCAGCCUCAACCUUCCAGGCUGAAGCGAUCCUCCCACCUCAACCUCCCACGUGGCUGAGACUACAGGUGCUUGCCACUAUGCCCAACUAAUAUUUGGAAUUUUCGUAUACGUGGAUUCCAGAGGGGUGACAGCGAAACGUGAGUAAGCAUGGAUUUUGGUAUAUGCAGAGAUGGGGGGCUGGAACUAAUUCUGUAUACUGAGGGACGGCAACUGUGUAUGUUUUUACAAUUACGCUGUAGGAUACAUACUGUUGCAUAGCCUUGAAAAUAAUAAUUUUUAAUUGAGUGGAAUAAUAAUAAUAUUGAUAAAAGUAGCAGCUGGCCAGGUGUGG
rnacentral:lncRNA from 10 species